GGAUAAAGGCUUUGGGAAUGUGGCUCCUCCGGGAGUGUUAUAGCCCAUUGUGUAAUACCCUGUGGUGGACUGAGGUUCGCGCAUCUGCAAGGAUGCUGGCGUAAUGGUCAUCAGCGA
rnacentral:rRNA from 1 species